GGGCGUUGUGGAGACGAGAGGUCCGGGAUGUGACCCCGGCUCAAGCUGCAGCUGUAGCAUCGGCGGCUGCAGUUGCGGCGGUGGCUUCAGAGGCCCCGGCGUCCUUGCAGGUUGAGGAAGAGGACCCCGAUCCCCUUCUUCCCUUCUUCCCCAGGUCAUAAGAAGCUGGCCUUGGUGCAGUAAGGAACUUAAAACAAUGGAGGAGCGCAAAGUGAAGAGGAGGAGUCCUAAGUCUUUUAGUGCCCACUCUACUCAGGUUGUUAAUGCCAAAAAAAAUGCCAUUCCAGUUAGUAAAAGCACGGGGUUUUCAAAUCCUGCAUCACAGUCAACUUCACAGCGACCAAAGUUAAAAAGAGUGAUGAAAGAAAAGACCAAACCUCAGGGUGGAGAAGGCAAAGGCGCUCAGUCAACCCCGAUCCAGCACUCCUUCCUCACCGACGUCUCUGAUGUCCAGGAGAUGGAGAGGGGGCUCCUCAGCCUUUUGAAUGACUUCCACUCUGGAAAACUCCAAGCAUUCGGAAAUGAAUGUUCCAUUGAACAGAUGGAACAUGUUCGGGGAAUGCAGGAGAAAUUAGCUCGCUUGAAUUUGGAGCUCUAUGGGGAGUUAGAGGAACUUCCUGAGGAUAAGAGAAAAGCAGCCAGUGACUCCAAUCUGGAUAGGCUUCUGUCUGAUCUAGAAGAAUUGAAUUCUUCCAUGUAUCCUUUGCUUAACAUCAGCAGUGAAAAGUUCGAAGAUUAUAAUUCUUGGUGAAUAGUCCCAAUCAAGUGAAGAAACCUACUGCUAUUUACUGGGGCCAUCUUUCCCUUUAGUUUCUAAAUGGAAUUUCCCAGUUGUUUUGUAUGCUGAAAUUUUGUUUUUCUGCGGUUUGUGCUUUGCUGUGUAUGGUUUCUGGGUUUUUAAGACAAAUUUUUAAAAUGUUUUAAUCAGAGAAUUAAGAAUUAGGCUAGGGCUUCCCUGGUGGCGCAGUGGUUGAGAGUCCGCCUGCCGAUGCAGGGGUCACGGGUUCGUGCCCCGGUCCGGGAAGAUCCCACAUGCCGCGGAGCAGCUGGGCCCGUGAGCCAUGGCUGCUGAGCCUGCGUGUCUGGAGCCUGUGCUCCGCAACGGGAGAGGCCACAACAGUGAGAGGCCCACCAGACAUAAUACAGUAUUCUAAAUUUAGUAUUAGAACUAGAAUAUUUUAGAUGCAUUAAAGUGUAUUAUAGGGUUAACUUAAAGGAAAUCACAAAGGCACAUGUAAAAUAUUCAUGUUUUGACAUUUCAAUUUAGAGCAAUUAUUUCAAGAAAUUUUAAAAAUGUAUUUUUGAACAUACUGAUAGGCACAAUGUGAGAUAUAUAAGAACAAAUAAAAAUUGAUCCUGCCUGUAAAAUAAUUUUAGUGGUAAGACAUCUCUUUGAACCAAAUAGUGAGAUACUGGAAAGGAUACUGUUGUAGAGUUAAGAGAUUUGAUUUUCGAAAUUUGGUUCCAUGUUUUGCUAAUGUAAAUUUGGGUAGAUUGUUUAACAUUUCAGAGUAUCGUCUUUAAUAUGGGGUAACUGCUACAUGUAAUCAUGUGUAUAUGAAAAUUUCCAAACUAUAUAGAAUAUAUAUUUUUAAAAAAUCACUCUUACUGCAAUAACAUAUACUAACUGCUGAAUUGUGCAGUAAAAACAAUGAAGAAAUAGGAAGAUAUAUACAAAUCCAGUAAUAGUAAUUAAUAUCUCACCUUUAUUGAAUACCUACUAUUUGCCAAGCAUUAUAUGAAGUGUUUGUUUUACAUGCAUUAUCUCAUUUGAUCCUACUCUUGGAAGUAGGUGGUGUUAUACUCCCCAUUUUACAGAUGAAGAAAAUACAGUUUUGAGAAGCCACAUAAACUGUAGGAGAUAUUAAUGUAAGAUACCACUGCCAAGAAAGAGUUUAAUAUGGGGGUAAGAUAGGAGUUAAUUAGGAGGCUUUUCUUAGGAGUAGUUCCCGGUUCUUUUUUUCUUUGUAUUUGUUUUACGUUAUAUUCUAUGCUUUAUAUUCUCUCUCUGCUUAUGACACAUAACUCCUCUCCUCUUAUCUGAGUUUCUGUUAAACAUUUAGACUCAUUUGUCUCCCGCUUUCCUCACUUCAGCCCCCACGGUUCAGCAGGCCGUGGUGGUAGACUGCAAGCGCAUGGCCUUUGGACCGCUUGGUCUCAGGUCUUGGUAAGCAGCUAUGUAACCUUGAGCAAAGCCUAGCAACCCUAGUUUCCUCAUCUGUAAUAAAUGUUCUUUCCGUGUUCAUACUUCUCCCUCCUAAUUUUCCUCUCUGUCAUCAGUGCCCCUAUUAGUUUUUUAACAUCUUUAUUGGAGUGUAAUUGCUUUACAAUGGUGUGUUAGUUUCUGCUGUAUAACAAAGUGAAUCAGCUAUAUGUAUACAUAUAUCCCCACAUCCCCUCCCUCUUGCGUCUCCCUCCCACCCUCCCUAUCCCACCCCUCUAGGUGGUCACAAAGCACCGAGCUGAUCUCCCUGUGCUAUGCAGCUGCUUCCCACUAGCUAUCUGUUUUACAUUUGGUAGUGUAUAUAUGUCCAUGCCACUCUCUCACUUCAACCCAGCUUACCCUUCCCCCUCCCCAUGUCCUCAAGUCCAUUCUCUACCUCUGUGUCUUUAUUCCUGUCCUGCCUCUAGGCUCAUCAGAACCAUUUUUUUUUUAGACUCCAUAUAUAUGUGUUAGCAUACGGUAUUUGUUUUUCUCUUUCUGACUUACUUUACUCUGUAUUGACAGACUCUAGGUCCAUCCACCUCACCACAAAUAACUCAAUUUUGUUUCCUUUUAUGGCCGAGUAAUAUUCCAUUGUAUAUAUGUGCCAGAUCUUCUUUAUCCAUUCAUCUGUCGAUGGACACUUAGGUUGCUUCCAUGUCCUGACUGUUGUAAAUAGUGCUGCAGUGAACAUUGUGGUACAUGUCUCUUUUUGAAUUAUGGUUUUCUCAAGUGCCCCUAUUAUUUUAAUCUUCAAGAUUGUUUAAAAAUCCCUUCUAUGACUAUAGCAGACAUUGCUAAUCAGUCAUGGCACUAUCUGCCGUUUAGCCUGGACAGGGGCACGAAAUUAUUUGCUGUCUCUUAAUUACAGUUAGUUGUCAGGUGUUAUCAGUUCUGUUUUGUAUUCUUCCUUCAUUCUCUACCCUCAUCACCUGAUUCCACAGCCUUUCAAAUUUCUGUUCUCUAGAAACCCUAGAGCUGCACUGUCCAAUAUGGUAGCCACUAGCCAAGUAACUACUGAGCACAUGAAGUGUU